GACGAACGCUGGCGGCGUGCUUAACACAUGCAAGUCGUACGGUAAGGCCCUUUCGGGGGUACACGAGUGGCGAACGGGUGAGUAACACGUGAGUAACCUGCCCACAACUUUGGGAUAACGCUAGGAAACUGGUGCUAAUACUGGAUAUGUGCUCCUGCUGCAUGGUGGGGGUUGGAAAGCUCCGGCGGUUGUGGAUGGACACGCGGCCUAUCAGCUUGUUGGUGGGGUAGUGGCCUACCAAGGCGGCGACGGGUAGCCGGCCUGAGAGGGUGACCGGCCACAUUGGGACUGAGAGACGGCCCAGACUCCUACGGGGGGCAGCAGUGGGGAAUAUUGCACAAUGGGCGCAAGCCUGAUGCAGCAACGCCGCGUGCGGGAUGACGGCCUUCGGGUUGUAAACCGCUUUCAGCAGGGACGAAGCUUUUUGUGACGGUACCUGCAGAAGAAGCACCGGCUAACUACGUG
rnacentral:rRNA from 1 species